rnacentral:rRNA from 1 species
CCACCGCGGUUAUACGAGAGGCCCAAGUUGACAAACACCGGCGUAAAGCGUGGUUAAGUAAAAACUCACACUAAAGCCAAACAUCUUCCAGGCUGUUAUACGCAACCGAAGACAGGAAGUUCAACCACGAAAGUGGCUUUAUCUAGUCUGAACCCACGAAAGCUAAGGAACAAACUGGGAUUAGAUACCCCACUAUGCCUAGCCCUAAACAUUGAUAGUACUAUACACCCACUAUCCGCCCGGGAACUACGAGCAAUAGCUUAAAACCCAAAGGACUUGGCGGUGCUUUAGAUCCACCUAGAGGAGCCUGUUCUAGAACCGAUAACCCCCGUUCAACCUCACCCUUCCUUGUUUAACCCGCCUAUAUACCGCCGUCGUCAGCUUACCCUGUGAGGGACUAAUAGUAAGCAAAACUGGUACAGCCUAAAACGUCAGGUCGAGGUGUAGCGUAUGGAGGGGGAAGAAAUGGGCUACAUUCGCUAUUACAGCGAACACGAAUGAUGCACUGAAACGUUCAUCUGAAGGAGGAUUUAGCAGUAAGCAGGAAAUAGAGCGUCCAGCUGAAAUUGGCCCUGAAGCGCGCACACACCGCCCGUCACUCUCCCCAAAGACGCAAAUCAAUUAACUAAAACCUAAUAAUUAAAAAGGGGAGGCAAGUCGUAACAUGGUAAGCG